UUUUAGAAAAGGCUGAAAAAAAUUUCCUCAAUGGAUCCUAACAUCUUCAAAAAGGGUGGCAUGACACUUCACAAUACUAAAGAUACAAAUAGAGACAUUUAUCGGGAAUCUUAUCAUGAAACUGAAGAUAAUGCUCCAGAUGUGUUGGAUCCAUACCUUAACAGAAACCUGAGUAUUGAAGACCUGGAUCUAACAGCUAAUGAUGAAAUAGUUGCUCUUUCACCUGAUGCACGAUUUCAUAUUACUGGAAAAACAGGCAGGAUGUCAUAAGACUACCUCAGGAGCAAACGAUUAUUUUUACUCACAGUACGAAAGGAAAAAUUAUCUAAAAAUUCAACAACAUGUUUUGGACUCAAAAGUUCAUCUUGUGGUGAGUGAGAAAAGAAACUUUGAAGAAGACUAAUUGGACUUGAAUGAGGUAUUGAUAACAGAAUUGUAUACACCUGCUAAGUUUUUGUGUGUUUUGUUUGCACUGUUUCAAUGAUGAACUUAUUCUAAUCAUGCAUAUAUUUUUUGAUUCAUUCUAAUUUUCGAUCUUGCUGAGAAAGGAUAUAUUUUGUCAAAGUU